UCUUAACCGAACAGGUUACUUUCAAAAAAAAGGACAAGGUUAGAUUAUCACCUUUAUGUGCUCAGCUCCUAGCCUACCUCCUGGCACAGAACAUCACAAACAAGUGACUCAGUUGGGUCCUAUUUGUAAACUUUCCUGUAAACUGCAGAGAAACGGGCUAAUUACAAGCCUGCAAUCAACACAGAGAAAGAAAUGCAGACUGGCAGUCUUUCUUUGACUCCCAUCUCUAUGGUUGGCAUGUGACCACUCUACACUCUGGAGGACUCAACGAGCACAGCCGCUCCUUAGACUACGUUCGGCACGUGACCGGAUGUUUCACUUGCUAUUGGUUACUGCCGGCAAGGCCCGCCCAACCGCCUACUGUCAGCUCCUUUAAGUAGAAGCCAGAAGCUGCGCUUCAUUCUUUCGGGGACUGUGACGCUGGAAGAUUGAGGUGUGUUUGUGAUGGGCUCUAGCGGGUUGGUGCGGGAGCCGAGUUCUGGCCGGGCCGAGGCGUCGGAUCUCCCUGUCCUCCCCUUCGACCUCUCCCCACAGCUCCUCAGUAAAAUAAUAUGAUGCCAG